rnacentral:lncRNA from 1 species
GUGGUGGAAUACGUCGACCGUUAGGGCUGUCACUACCCUAGUGCUACCACAACAAUCCGCAGGAUUGGGUGCAAUUCCAGGUAAUUGCAAGACUAAACACCACGUCUAAUCUAUUAAUUACUACUCUAGCGUUAUAAAGACUAGAGCACUUGAUGCAAGCGGGAAUCCAAUAAAUAACUUGAAUGUAAAUAAAAGUAAUUAAAGAACUCAGGAAUUGUGAAUUGAAGAACCUGGAGAACGAUGAGGAACGAACCAGUUGCUACAAAAGUAUAAUGUUGAGGAAGAUCCGACAGAUCCGGCUCCUCCUCCGCUCUCCUCUUCUCUCUCCCUAUUUUCUAGAUUACAACUAGAACUAACUAGAACGAGAACUAGAGGAACUAGAACUAGAACUAGAUGAACUAGAACUAGAUCUAGAUGAACUAGAGGUAGAACUAGAAGAACUAGAGGGAUCCUCUCUACUUGGAUGAAGAAUUGAAACCCUAGCUUUGAUUCUGUAGAAGAGGUAUGCUCUCCAGGGGCCAGGGGGCCUUGCUUAUAUAGUCUUUUCAGAUGAAUCUAGGCCGUUGGAUCAAACCGACAUUGAUUGAACGGUUAUUGUUGAUCCUUUAGGUCGAUGGAGCGUAAUCCCCGAAUUGGACUCUGAUUGGGCAACACAGGUGGGCGGGCGCCCUCAGGACUAGGGCGGGCGCCCAGUGCCUGAGCCCUCUUGGCCUCCGCUUCGGUCCCGUGGCUUCUGGAAUCUUCUAGAUGGUAGAAAAUUGCGCGGCAUGUUAAUAUCUCUAUGUAAACCCGACGUGUGGGCCUUUCCUCUGUAUUUCCUAAUAACCCCUUGCAGAAAUAGACAAACACCAAAACUCGUGGAAUUCUGUCAGAUAAAACCCUAAGUCUAGAUGUUAGUUGCAUUUGGAUCCUUUUUCAUGAUUAGUUGAUGGUUAAAUGUGAGCAUUAAGAACCGUCAACAAGCUCCCCCAAGCUUAACCUUUGCUCGUCCCUGAGCAAAGAUGAACUCAAGAGUUUCUGCAGUGGUUUCAUGCCUUAAAGGUACACAUGCAUUUAAACAAGAUCUCAUCUCUGGGUUAGGGUAAACUGUUAAGAUUUAAACUUACUCAUUUUACCUUCCACCAUGGGGCUUGUAACCGUCACUUCUGUCUUGAGCAGUUAAAAGAUAGAACGGUUUAGUCAAGCACCAUGUCUCUUAUUCUUGAUCAGCUAUAGCUCUAGAGUUUUUGCAGAUUUUCAAAUAAAACUCAGAGAUUCCUUGUAUGACUCUCUCUAGUCUCUCUUUUGUGGUAUUCCUGGAUCCUUACCAAGGCAAUAAUGGUGUAUGCCUUCUCUCAAAAUAUGUGGUAUUUUUGGUAUGAGGCAUAGUGGCAUUGCCUUCUCUCUCACCCUACUCUAAUAAGGUUUUGAUAUCUGGAGCUCAUAGGUGGGAGACAGCUAAUACAUACUUACAAGACAUUUAUUGCAUAGUCAAACCAUGGAUCCAGAAGAACAAGUCAAUAAGUCAAAUCAAGAUGUGCAUGUGUGGUGAAUGAAUAGUGUAUGGUGAUGAUGGUGAUAAUGGCAAACAUAAUGGUGAAAGUCUAAUUCUACUUGUGCUCUUUUGAGGGGAUACAUACCUUUCUUGCCCUUUUGAUACUUUUUGAGGAGAAUGAGAUGCUCUAUAUUUUCUUUUUCUUUCUUUUUUUUUCUUUUUUUUUCUCUCAGGUGGGUAUCUUGUACCCCUAAUUCUACUGUCGGACACUUCUCCAUUUUUUACCUCUCGUCUCACUUUUUCUUUUCUUUCGAGGUUCCGGGCACUUGUCCCUUUUUAUUUUCUCGUAUCUCCCUUUUUUUAGAGCACUCAUCUCUUGAAAUAAUAUAGCAAGUGGUAGUAACCAAGAUAACUUGAGCAUUUAUUUCACAGGGGAAAAACAAAAAUGUUUUUGGCUAUUCUCUCCCGGAUUAGGAGUAGAAUAUUUUUGGGUGAUUCUGGAGAUGGAAAUGGGUGGAUAUAUGUGGACGCGUACUUCCGGAGUAGAAGCAGCAUGUAUGAGUGACCGUGCAAGUGAAUCUUGAUUUAACCACAUGACAAGCUCCUAAGGGUCUACACAGCUUGACCACACUCAAUGCUCAUAAGCAGUAAAAAGUAAAUGAAUGGUUCAUAGUCUAAUAAGCAUGUAUAUAUGGCUGUGGUAGGAUUUUAAACUCUCAUCAUACAGGAACUCAUCAUGUGAUAUUUUAAAGAUGUUCAAAGAUAAAAUUCUCCAGAAUUCUAGCAUCUCUAGGAACAGAUAAACAGCAGCUCAACCUUCCCAUAUCAUAUCCGUUAACAACUUAGACUUUAGAUCAAGUACUCUUCCCACAAGUUUAGGUUUAGAGCAAAUCUUAAUUAAUAACAGUCAUGCCUAAACUUGAGAGAGAUUUCAAUUUUGAGAACUAGUCAUGGUAGAACAACUAUUCAUCAUUUCCAUAUGAGAGCUUAUCAUGAGGGUUCAUAGCAAAUUUUAUUUAUUUAUUUAUUUAGCAAACUAAGCAAAGAUAUAUAUAUAUAAGCACAAAAUCUUUAUUUGGGUUUUUAUGAUUAUACAUCUUUUUAUUAUUUGAGUAAAGUAUAAACAUGAGUAGAACACUUAGCUGGAUAAAUGGGGUUGCUCUCCCCCAAGCUGGAUUUUGAAGUAAUUUCUUCUGAUGUAGCUAGCAGGUGGCGGAGGUGUAUUUGAAUGUCGGCAACACUCUGACAGCGAUUAGGGUGUCCUCCGUCUGCUAGUCUUCUUUGAUCCUUGAAUUCUGUGGAGCUCAAAUAGACAACAAAACUUUGUGGAACUAGUUAAGUGUUAGCAUAAAUAUCUAGCCUUUAUCAUGUUGAGCCUCCUCAAUAAAUGUUACUCAUUAGUAGGAUCAUAAUUUUAUUUUUGUAAUUUUAUUUUUAUAGGACAGGAAUAUAUUUAUUUCAUUUUUAUGCCACCACAGUGAAUGUACUUAUGGGUUUUAUGCCAUGAGCAUACUCACAUGGGCUUACUAUUUUUAACAUUUUUAUUUUGUUUUCAAGAUGAUAUGAACCUGAUUAACUAAGCAAACUACUUUAAAAUAAUUGAAAGGAAAAAGAUAACUACCAAGUUGGCAAGGCGUUCGGUGUUUUUAAGUCCUCCGAACGGGACUCUCCGUCUUCUCAGUCGUCCUAGGAUUCGUUGGAUGGCGUAGUCGGUGGUUCCGGCGGCGCUUCUUCUUCAUAUAUAACUAUCUUCUCUCUACACACCUGACUCGGUGCUACGGUCUCCUCAGGAUAGUUCUGUUCAAGCAGUAUGUCUUCAGAUAUUACCACUUCUUCGUAGUCUGCCCAUCCGUCCUUGAUGAUUUACCUCCUCUGGUUGCGGUUGCGUUGUCUUCUUCUUGUCCUGGCCUGCUUAGAGUCUUCAACUAUAUAGUUAGGGUCAGUAAAAUAGCGGCGUACCUUCUCAGAGGGGAAGUGCAUGUGGACUUCUCUGGUUCCAAUAUAGAUGAUUGCUUUAACGGUGCUGAGGAACGGUCUUCCAAGGAUGAUGGGUGGAUCGUACUCGUCUUCUCCCAUGUCAAAAACAAGUCUAUGUAGACAAAAUGAUCGUCUAUUUUGACUGGGACAUCAGUUACUGUUCAUUUAACUUCUUGAAAUGUCUGAUCUGCCAUCUGGAGCUGAAUGUAUGUUGGUUUUAGGGGCAUGGUUCCGAACAAAAGCUGAUAGGUGACUGGGUCAUCCUUUUUGGUCAGGAGCGGUGACUUAUGUCGACGAUCUUGACCUCCUUGAACUACAGUGACCAUCUUAGCUGACUCGGUCCACAUUUGCUUGUUCUUGUUCCUUCUGUUGGUCCUCUUCCUUGGUUCAUAUCGAGAAUGCUCUAAGAUUUGUGUAGUCUUGUUCUUGAAGGAAAAUAUCUCCUUCCUUCCCUUUUUGUAGAAACUUAUCUUGGCAGCACUAGCGUAGAUGACAACUCCCGAGGUGUUCAGGAAUGGCCUCCCUAGGAUGAUGGGUGCCCUCUCAUCAGUACCAGUCUCUAUCACCACGAAGUCUGCUAGAGUGUAUAAGGUACCAACUCGGACGUAGAGGUUCUUCAAUAUUCCCUUUUGGAAACUUAGUGUAUGAUCUGCAAGCCUGAGCAUAAUGUUGAUGCUGGAGCCAAAGUCGCAGAGUGCUUCUGGGAAGUCCAUCAUGCCGAUGGAGAUUGGGAUGACGGGGUGUCCUGGAUUGUCUCUCUUGACCGACAGAAGGUCAGUAAUUACUUCCACAAUGGUGUUACUCCAGUAGUUACGUCCUCAAGCAUCUCAGGGCAGUGAUUGCCUGAGUGUCUAGUAUCUCCAGUGUGUUUGUGCUUGUAGAUCCAGGUUCUUCACUUGCUGGAGUCUGGGAGUUGUAAAACUCUUCCAUGUUUUGCUUGAAGUGUACCUGUUCAUAGAGACAAGGCAGAGAUCAAGUGCAUGGGCCCUAUUGGUGGAAAACACCAACAGAAACCAAAAUGUAUUUGUUCUCUCUAACCUUAAGCAUAGUGAGCAAGACAAAGUUGAUGUAUAAUAAGAUCAGGAGUGUAGCAUUUAAAACAUUUGUCAGAUCAGAUUGCUCGACCUAAUGAAAAGAUAAUCUAUACUUAUCUUAUCUUUUUUUUAUAUAUCUUCCAAAGAAUGCGUGUGCAACACUUUAGCUCAUAUGAUUAGGAGUGUAGGAUCACAAAGGUGGAAGGACUAAACAUGUUGAAUCGAUUGGGUUGGUUAAUCUAGAGUUGUAAAUCAUACAUGUUUGUCUCUUUUAUUCAUGUGAACGCCAGAACCAAGGAGAAGCUUAUAAAAGUGAUAGUCAAGUACCUUAAGAUGUUACCUUACUUGAAGAGUGAUGGUACAGUAUCACCUUGUGGAAGCUUUCCUUUCUUAGCGGUUGUGCAUCGUGUUUGUGGCACCCACCAUGGAUCAUCUCUUGUGAGCUAUGCCUUCCUUGUGUAAAUUGUUAAACUUCAUGUGUCUCUCUCUUUGUCUCCAAUGUGAGUUUAUCUCAGGACUUUCCAGGUCGAUAUUGAAAGUUUUCCUGCAGGGGUUAGUCCAACAAAAUAUCCAAUAUCUACUAUAGCAUACUAUCGGCUCAAAGAUCAACCUAGACACCAUGUCUAAUUUGAUUUAGGAGGGCAUUUAACCUAAGCAUCAUGCUUAAUUUAAACUCCCUUGGAAGUAAGAUCAUCAUUCCUAAACUAAGCACCAUGCUUAAUUAAGAGAUAAAUGAAACUACUCCAAGCCUAGACAUAUACUAAAGCAAAUAAAGGUAGUAUGAGAGCAUAGAGAUCUACUCAAGUGGAGAUGAAGUAGUGUGAUUAGUAUUUAACAAAUUGAGCAUGUCUCAAAGGUAGGGACAACCAACAUAGCAACAUGGCAAAUGAUGUUUUUAGUGUAAGUACUCUCCCAAGCUUGAAUUUUGCAAAAUUCAAGUUUGGAUGAAUUUAAUUCAAUGUUGUAUGAUGAUUGGUUAGACAUACCUUGUGCUUGUCAUUCAUCCGAUCUUCUUGCUCCAAUCCUAGAAAGCUUAGUGACAAGAAUACCCGAAGGAAUAUUUUUACAAUUAUCCUUAUAUGCUCAACACACAAGGUAAUGUUGCAAAUAAUUAAAAGCUCAUGUUACAAUCUGAUCAGUGCUUGUUUUAGGACACUAAGCUUGUCUUUGGGAAACCAUCAAUUUAUGUUGGCGAAGUGGUUUCCCCUCCAACGCUGACCUAUAUCAAGAUCAACUCAACGAGAUGUGCAAUAUUUAAUAUAGACAUAUGCAUCGACAACCGCCCUUUUAAAGUUUUUAUAAAUAGAAAGGAUGAGGGGGUUGGAGAUCUCGAGUGUGGUGAUGUUGGAAAAACCAAUGGAUUGGGACGAUGUUGCAUAUGAACAUGGAGUAAAUGAAGUGGCUAUGAAAUAAAUUCCAUGCUCAUUAAUGCUUAGAGUGAAAUCCAUGUGGUAUGGUGAAAAUGAUAAGGUGAGUGUGGUGAAAAAGGAAAAGAAAAAGGAUACACGAACGACUUGGUUCGAAACUAGCACAGCUACCGUUCCCCGACAACGGCGCCAGAAAGCUUGUUGGGUAUUUUAAACGCAAACAGAAAAAUCCACAAGCGCACGGAUACCGAUGUAGCCUUCACCCGGGAGUAUUCCAGAGUAUCGAUUUUCCACAGAGAACGUGAGUGUACUAAUUAAGAUCCAAGAUCGCCCAAGGAUAACUAUAUAAUUAUUUUUGGUGGGAAGAGAGGAAGUUUCCUGAGAGUUCUCUAGUUGAUCUAAGAAUCAAGAAUUACUUCAAGAUUAUCUAUUUUGGGACAUCAGAGCAGUAACCACAGAAAGAGAUGAGAAGGGGGCUAGGAAGGUCUGACUACGGUCCUACAAACACCGAUCCGAACGUGGUGGAAUACGUCGACCGUUAGGGCUGUCACUACCCUAGGGCUACCACAACAAUCCGCAGGAUUGGGUGCAAUUCUAGGUAAUUGCAAGACUAAACACCACGUCUAAUCUAUUAAUUACUACUCUAGCGUUAUAAAGACUAGAGCACUUGAUGCAAGCGGGAAUCCAAUAAAUAACUUGAAUGUAAAUAAAAGUAAUUAAAGAACUUAGGAAUUGUGAAUUGAAGAACCUGGAGAACGAUGAAGAACGAACCAGUUGCUGCAAAAGUAUAAUGUUGAGGAUGAUCCGACAGAUCCGGCUCCUCCUCCGCUCUCCUCUUCUCUCUCCCUAUUUUCUAGAUUACAACUAGAACUAACUAGAACUAGAACUAGAACUAGAACUAGAUCUAGAUGAACUAGAGGUAGAACUAGAAGAACUAGAGGGAUCCUCUCUACUUGGAUGAAGAAUUGAAACCCUAGCUUUGAUUCUGUAGAAGAGGUAUGCUCUCUAGGGGCCAGGGGGCCUUGCUUAUAUAGUCUUUUCAGAUGAAUCUGGGCCGUUGGAUCAAACCGACAUUGAUUGAACGGUUAUUGUUGAUCUUUUAGGUCGGUGGAGCGUAAUCCCCGAAUUGGACUCUGAUUGGGCAACACAGGUGGGCGGGCGCCCAGUGCCUGAGCCCUCUCGGCCUCCGCUUCGGUCCCAUGGCUUCUGGAGUCUUCUAGAUGAUAGAAAAUUGCGUGGCAUGUUAAUAUCUCUAUGUAAACCCGACGUGUGGGCCUUUCCUCCGUAUUUCCUGAUAACCCCCUACAGAAAUAGACAAACACCAAAACUCGUGGAAUUCUGUCAGAUAAAACCCUAAGUCUAGAUGUUAGUUGCAUUUGGAUCCUUUUCCAUGAUUAGUUGAUGGUUAAAUGUGAGCAUUAAGGACCGUCAACAAUCAUCACAAGUGUCUUGCAAAGCAAUUAUCACAUCAACGAAUAACAAAGUCUUGCAACAAGUGGAAAUAAAACACAUAUCUAACACUAGCAUGGUAGCUCCAGCAUAGGGAUGACCGACUGGUGGAUCGCCAACCUAGUAGUUCUCUGAAAAAUUCUCAUAGCAGUUGUCAUCUGUUAUCCAUCCGGGAUUUUUAUGCAAAAGAAAUAUGAAAUAAGCAUGAGUACAUCUCGUACUCCGCAGACAUAACACGAGAUUUCAUGAGGCUCAAAAAGGUUAGACACUGGCUACUAUAGUUGGCAUUUUAGUUGAUCAAUGUUUUAACACUAAUUUUUUUGAUAUGUUAUGCUUAUGUACCCGUUUAACCCACAUGACUAUAUAAUAAUAACACCGUUAACCAUCACGGCUAACACCACUACCAUCACAGCUUAAUCACAUUAAUCAUCUCGAUUAAUGCAUCAUCAUUUCAUAAGUCAUCCACCAUAACCAUUCAUACCCAACUAUUCCGUAAGGGUCCAAGGCCGCUCAUGUCUGAGAGCAUGGCUAGUAUACCAGUUUGAUCAAAAUAUGCGCAGAGGUGUGUACUUUUCCCACAACUCGUGUUACCCAUAUGCCCGGGGUUUGCAAGACCCACUAACACUGCCAAGGUGAGCAGGCAGGAAACACUAUGAAGCCUUCCAUAGGCCUCAUCUAACCAGUUAGGGCCGUGAGGUUUCCUCGGCAGCCAGAUAUAGAGAACCCUCUUUUCUAUGGCACAUUUCCAUCACGGCUAUACACAUAGGAACAUAAGUGGUUCUAUACCCAAAGUGGCAAGUGUAAGGUCCAAAUGGCUAGGGGGGGGUGAAUAGCCUAUUUAAAAAUUCUACAAACUUUACUUAAACAAGUGAGUUAGUAAAAUAAGUGGCGAAGCUAUUCUAGCACUAGCACAACUAAGCUAUGCAAGCCACCUAAACAAGUCUAGCAAGAAGGCUAAACAUAAAAACACAACAACUCUACACUAACAAGAACUAAGCUACACAAACUAAACUAACAGGGUAGGCAAGUAUGUAAAGAGAGGAGAGUGAUUGUUAUACCGAUGUUGUAGAGAUGAGAUAUAUCCAAUCAAUCACGUACACAAUCACAAGAGAGACAUCGGCAAGAGAUGACACAAGAUUUUUACCGAGGUUCACUUGCUUCCCGGCAAGCUACUCCUCGUUGUGGCGAUACACCCACUUGAUGGAUCGCCAGCUAAUUGGCAAUCCAAAACCAAACCCUCAGCGGGUGCCGCACAUCCACUCACAAGAUGGGGAUCCUUGAAGCCACGAGCAAUCCACUAGAGUAGCCAAUUGCGAUCUCCCGCGGGGAAGGCUCAAGAACCCCUCACAAAUCACUUGGUGAGGCUCGAAACAAUCUCUAAUCACGAGCUCAACACCACCGCUGCUCCAAGCCGUCUAGGGCGUCGGGAAACACCCACGAGUAACAAGAAAUCCGUAGCAAACUCAAGAAUCAAGUGCCACUAAAUGCAACUCUCAAAGCAAUGCACUUGAAUCUCACUCAAUCUCACUAGGAUUAGCAAUCAAGCAAGGAAAUGAGUGGAAGGAGUGUUCUCUAGUUCAAUGUAUGCCUCAAGUAUUCAAAUGUGCAAAAGUGAACCCCCCAAAGUCGGCCACCUUCUAUUUAUAAUCUCUCUCAAAGAAAUAGCUGUUGACCACUUUCAUUGGGCUGUAGUCGUGUACACCGGACGCUACCAAGUGAGCACCGGAUGCUCGACCCCCUGUGUCCGGUGCUCUGGGGUUGGCCAUGUGUCCUCCUUUGAGUCUCGCGCAUCAAACUCUAACGGUCACCUGCGGACCACCGGAUGCGACUAAGUGGGCACCGAACGCGUCCGGUACUCACCGGCCUCGUGCGCAGAGAGUUUGUCAAACUCACAACCUCACCGUACUCGGGGCACCGGAUGGUCCGGUGCUCACCGGACUUAUGCGCAGAGAGGGUUGCAAAACCCCUUCACACCGGACGCACACCACCAGACGCACUUAGAGUGUCCGGUGCUCUCAGUCAGACACCCUCUGCUUAAGACAGACCACACCGGACGCAAAAAUAGGGAACACCCUACGUCCGGUGCAGUGCGUCCGGUGCUCAACCCUAGCAAGGUCAAGCACUGAUAGAACACCAGACUCUGAGGCCAGCGUCCGGUGCCUCCGCACCCUGCGUCCGGUGAGUGUUUCUUGGCGAGAAACACUCCCGUGACUUCUCCAAAUUUACCACUAGCGCAAUAGAAAAUAUACACUUAUUUUUCUCAAAAGCGCUGAAUCCCCAUUUUUGGUAAUUGAUGACAACCAUCAUAAAAAUAUGAAAUGAAAUCAUAAUGAACUUGAAUUGCUUGUCCAAAACAUUUUUAUCAUGAAACAAGAUUGGACAAACACUUCAAUUUCGGUUUUGGUAGUACUAGCUCCCCCUACAUAUGUGCUUCCAUGAGUUUGGUUCAAUCUUACACAUAUGCAUGAAUUGGAGUUUUGGACGAUUUAUUACUACCAAAAUGAUGCUAAGGUAUAUAGAAUGGACCUUUGAAGCGUGAUAUCAAUCGAAGUUGUCAAUAUACCAUCCUUAGCACCAAUGUAGCUAGACAUACAUCAAAAACUCAAGAUACCUCGUGAGAUCACAUUAUAUGUCUAGAUGCCACAUGAAAAUAAAACUUUAUGCUAGAAUUCAAAGCAUGAUUCAAGUUUUAUUUCUAGCAAGCACCAAUCAAACAAGAGUUGUGAAUUUAAACUUGCAAUGCAACACCGCAUUAUGUUAGUGCAUAUACAAAUGCAACAAAUGGUUCAUGAGCUUGCUCCCCCUAUAUGUGUGCUCAAGUUUAAAAAGUUUUCUCUCCUUUUUUUGUUUCUCUCCCCCUUUGUCAUCAAUGACCACAAAGGUUCAAAUUUUAGUGAGAAUUAAGUCAAUCAAUAUGAGGGUCAAAUUAUGGUUCAAUCUAGAUCUCUUGCCUAGAACAAGUAAUUCGGUUUGAUCCAAGGACAAGCUUCUUCACACCUCAUGAAGUAUAAGGAUUAUCUUGACCAUGUUCAAUUACACAUCAUAAGCUCAUAUUCAAGAUUCAACACUGUUGGGUAUUCUAAACAUCAUUACCAAAAGUAGACUUAGUUUUCUAAUUCUGAUAACGGUGCCAAAAAUGCCAAACCUAUCCCUUAUGCCACUUAAGCCAAGUUGUCAUCCCCAGCAUGACAUGAGAGACGCGGUAUUGAAAUAUGCAAUUGCUCUUCCAAAUAAAUAAUCAAAUGGGAUCUGCAAGCGCACAGAUUAAUACCGAUGUAGCAUUUUAACUGGGAAGUAUUCCAGGUAUCGUUAUUUAUAUUUUUACCACUGGGAAGGGAUUAGUAACCAUCAAUGUUGAUUAUAGAAUAGAAGAUAAGAUUGAGCAUCUAUCAUUGCAUGUAUAAUUGAGAACAUUUAUCUAAUUCUUUCAUACAGGGAUAAGUGUCACAUAAAGGAUAUAUAAAGUAAUGAAUAGUUACAAAGAUAAUUAUUCUGAUCAGCAUAACUUAGCCACAUAAUAAAUAUGAUAAGCACCUCAAUUAGAUAUUCUAGCAAGUCAUUAGCAUGGAAUUAGGACGAACUACAAGAAUAUUUCCUAAGUUAUUCUUAACUAUACAGUCUAGCAUAUCAUAGUUAGUGCAAUUAUACUUAGCAAUCAUUGUGAGACAAGAUUACGCCCAGGCAUAGUGAUAUUAUCAAGGUAAAUGAGAAACAUAGCAAUCACUCCCCUGUAAUAAUGUUGCUCUUCCAGCCCUAUACACGAGAGGGGGACUAUAUAAGAAUCAAUGAAGCUGUCACUAUCACGAACUACCCCGCGAUCUGGCAUAUAAGGUACAAUCGCAGAUAAAUGUUGACACUAGCUAACACCACUUAAAUACUAGGUUGUCAUCCCCAGCAUGGUGCCAGAGUGUACAAAGGUAUUUAUAAAUGUAAAGCCUCUCUAGAAAAUAAUCUUUUCUAUCCGCAAGCGCACAGAUAAAACACCUCAUUGUAGCAUUUCACCAGGUAAGUAUUCCAGGUAUCGUUAUUUAUAAUUUUGCUCAGGAGAAAAGGAUUAAAUGAAGAUAAGGAUAAAUCUAUCAAGGCAUAGAUUUGAGAUAAAUUUGCAAGAACAUGAUUACUAAUGAGGAACUCGUCACACAGUCACUUACUUUGGCAGGGGGUAAGCCAUAAUAAUAAUGAUAAUGAAAUAUAAGCUCAUAGGUAAAUAACACAGCGAUUAGAAAAUAGACUACUCCUCAAAUAUGUAAGGUGACGUCGGAUUAGCAAGAGAAUGGAUUCUAAGUUAUCUACUAUCUACUAAGUCACAAUCUACUCUAGUUAUCUACAAGAUCAUAUAUAGCAUAAAAGACUCUUCAUUCAUGUAUAAGGAACAUUGCUAAAGUAAAUCAGAACAUCGCAAGACUUACUCCACAAUACAAAUUCUGCCUGUCCUAUCAACGGAGGGUGGACUAUAUAAGAAUCAACGAAGCUGUCACUAUCUCGAACUACCACACGACCCGGCCAAUAGGAUACAUUUGCAGGUAAAUAACAUCUAAGCACCAUGCCCACAUGUGAUCUACCACUUAACUCCCUCGCGUCAAGAGCUAAGCGCUUUGCAAACUUAUACAUAAACUCAUUAUCAAUCAUAACUAUAUCAAAUAUAGAACUAGAGCAAACUAAGAGCAUAAUAAAUAGAGACAUAAUACAAUUAGAACAAAGUAUUAGAGAAAGAUAUGAAAUAAUACCAAUCUUUAUUACCGAAGAUCCGAAUCCAGAGCGUAGUGCUCUACUUCUCUAAUUGCUAUCUAAUCAAUCCUCUAAACUUGAAGGAUUAGGGAGUAGCUAAUUCUAAUUUUCUGUGGGAGAGAUGUCUAAACCCUAACUUUGAUGGCUACCUCUGAUAAUGAUUUCUCCUCUCUCCCCCUGGGGUGGAGAGGCUUUGAUUAUAUAGUCCUUUCAAGUGAAUUUGGGACGUCGGAUCAAACCAACAUUGAUCGCACGAUUUUCCUUGAUCCUUUAGGUCAGUGGAGCACGAUCUAGGAGAUUGGUUCUGAUUGGCCCCGAGGCCAGGGCGGGCGCCCAAGGGGGGAGGGCGGGCGCCCUGCCCCCGAGCCCGUCCGGUCUCCCGUUCGUUCCCGUGGCUUCUGGACUCUUCUAGAUUGAGGAAAAUUGCGCGGCACGUAAUUAUCUCGAUGUAAACAUGACAUGUGGGCCUUCUCUCCAUAUUUUCUGAUAACCCCCUACAGAAAUAGAUAAACACCAAGGCUCGUAGAAUUCUGUCAGAUAAAACCCUAAUUCUAGAUGUUUGGUGUAUAUUGAUCCUUUUCCAUGUUUAAUUGAUGGUUAAAUUUAGUACUUAAGGACCGUCAACAAACUCCCCCAAGCUUACCCUUUGCUCGUCCCUGAGCAAACAGCUAAACUCAGAUGGAUCAGGAGUUGCUUCGAUGUUUUCUUUCCUGACAGGCACACAUGCUUUCACAUAAAAAUUCUUCCAGAUUAGAGUGAAGUGUCAUGGAGCUUAGUACCUGCACUUAAGUCUUAAGUAAUCGAAAGACAAAAUAAUUAAGUCAAGUACUAUUCCUCCUGUCUAUACUUUAGCUUUGUUCUGGGGUUUUGCAUAAGUUUUCAAAAAUAAAACUCAGAGUUCCCAGCAAUGAUUCUCUCAAGUCUCUCUAUAUGUGGUAUUUGUGGAUCCUUACAAAAAUGUCACUUACCUAUAGCUAAUGGAAUAUUUAAAUGGAGCUCAUAGGAGUGAAAAACAGCUCAUACAUAUGUUGUCUAAUCGAGCCAUGGAUCCAAAGGAACUCAUCAUAUAAUUAAAUCAAGAUGUGCAUGUGUGGUGGAGUAAAUGAUAGUAAUGGUAAAAAUAUAAGUAAUGAUAAAACUUACUUCUCAUUGCUCCUCAUAUUGCUAUCUCUCCUCUUCUUUGAUCUUUGCUUUGGGAGAACAUGGGCUAUCUUUUUAUCUCUCUUUUUUUUCAGGUGGGUAGUAGAUACCCCUAAUUCUAGUGUCAGACACUUGUCCAUUUUUUCCGCUCAAGUGGGCAUCUUUGUACCCCUAAUUCUACUCCGGACGCUUGUCCAUUUUUACCUCUCGUCUCACUUUUUUCUUUCUUUUUCGAGGUUCCGGGCACUUGCCCCUUUUUAUUUCCUCAUAUAUUUUUGCAUAACCCAUGCCUCUUCUGCAUUGAAUCUUUAGAGAGAGAGAAUAACAACACUUGGGAUAGUGAGUGAUAAUAUUUUUAGCAAUUUUAAUGAUUGGUGGUGAAUGGUGUAGUGGAUGUGUGCAAGUGAAUAUCUUAAUUUCACCACAUGAAAAGCUCCUAAGGGUCUACACAACUCGAUCAAACUCAAUGUGAAUAUAGUAAAAGAUGUUAUAGCAAGUAUGGCUGUGGUAGGAGGUUUGUCAUGCUAGGAACUCAUCAUGUGAUUUGUAAGUUUUCAAAAUAAAUCUCUAGAACUUAGUGUAGUAGGAACAAGAUAAACAGUAGCUCAAACUUUAUAUUAUGUCCUUCUCUUACCUAGACUUUAGUUUUAGGUUCAUGCUUCCCAUAGAUAGUAAUUUUAGUUUUUAGUAAUUCCUGGAAGAACUCUAAUAUAAAAGCUAGGUACUUGAAAGUAAGCAAACAGAGCAACUGUUCAUCAUUUCCAUCAAGCAUCUUUUUGGUAUUUUUAUUUUUCUAGAGAUAAAUAAGCACACUUAUCUACACACUCUUUUUAUUUUGUUUCCAUGUUUAUAGAAUGCAGUAAAUCAAAGCAAGAAAUAUUUAUUGGGUUUUCUAAGUUUUUCUUUUAUAUAUUUAAGACACUAAAAUAGAAAAGAAUAAAUAAGAAGAGUAAAUAAAAACUUACUUGAUAAAAUGGGGAGGAACUCCCCCAAGCUGGAUGUGGUUGUCGGUCUUACCCAAUGUUCCAGAAUUACAUCAUGGUGGUGAUGUUGUCGUUCAUUGUUGUGGUGUCUUGUCUCAGUUCUUGUACAGCAGUGGCGUGGUCCUGGUUCCAUUUUUGUUGCUGUUCCAGGAGUCGUCCAUGUUCUGCUUGCGUAUUCUGGAUGUCGAGGAGGGUGUUGUCGGUACGGGUGAAGAAAGCGCCGGCCUCUUGGUAGUAGUCGUUCGUGAAAGCAUAAGAGGCGUCGGAAUAUCGUCCUGCAUCGAAUUGGGAUGGAGGUCUGGAUCCUGAGGCUCCAUAUGGAUCAGUGGAGUACCUGCCCGUAUGGAAAGGCGGGUUUGUCCACUGGUGAUCUUGGCUCUCUGGCCAUGUCUCCUGUGUUGGCUCUUGUGGUUGAGCAUGUCGAACCCAUGGGUCUCGAAGGACUCGAGGGUUGUAGUCACAAUAAUGCAGGUGCGCUACUUCUUCUGGCCCGGGAUCAGCUCCAUACCAGGUGCGUUCUUGAUGGGUGGUCGUCCUUUCAGAUGCCACUCGUUGUGGAGCUCUCUGGUUUACCAGUGUCACUGCAAUCUCAAUCAAAUAAUUUUGAACAACAUAGAGGCCAAGGUUCGGGUUAGGUAACCGAAUCUUGCCUUUAUUAUCGUAGCAUAUACAUUAUGUUUCCCUCUUUCUUUAACAUCCGAGCUUGCCUAAAUGUGUCAUAACCAUGAUAAAUUCUUAACUCGUCAAUAAAUUCCAAUGAUGAGUUUUCGAGCAAAUUAAGAUUAGAAGCUAGACGAGUGAUAAGUGAAGUACACCCUACUGGUCCCUGAAGACUAGGUAUACUAAGCCAAUGAGAAACAAAAAGUGUAACAGGUGAAGUGGGUACUUUAUUUAUAGCAGCAUAUAAAAGUUGUAAGUCUCCUACUCUUACUUUUCUAAUAUCAUCACGAUAGAAAAGAUUGUAUCCGAGCCAUUUGUAGAACAUCCUAAGAGUGGGGUGUUCCAUGUCACUGAUUCAGGCGUGACUAUAAAACUCAUCUCUAGAUAUCUCUUUCUAGAACUGGUGUCUCUCAAAAUUGGGUAAGUCGGAGUCAAUGUUCAAGAUGCAUCUUGGAGAGAAACCGAGAUGGCCGCUCAGUUCUCUCCAAGACAACAUAAUGUCCAGUUUAAACAUCUGAAAAGAAAUUCCCCCCUCAUAAUAUUGUAAAGUGCAAAGAAAUUCAAGGGUGAGAAGACGGGAACCCAGCUCAGUUAUGUUCCAAAAAUUUGUCCAUCCCACCAUCUGGAAAAUCAAAUCGAAUUCAGUAUCCAUACCUAUUUCUUGUAGCAAGAUAGGAUCAAGAGUGGGGGUGUGAAUGAAAUCUUUGUUCUUUAGCUGCUGGUAAACUUCCUUUUCCUUGCGAGUCUUUAGUCCAAGAUCUUCUGUCUUGAGGAGGACCUUAACUUGUGGAUCCGAUGAAGAUGAUGGAGCUUGCGUGGGUGUUGGGUCUAUGCUCAUCUCUGACGGGUGUGAGGAGUGUCGAGAUGAACUCCUUGUACCUAUGUUCUUGAGGACCUUCCCUGUGUUCUUCACCUUAAACAUCCUGUAGACAAAAGUUGACACACACACAACUAGUGGAAAAUGUGAGAGAAAAUGUUAGUGGUCAGCUGUCCGAAAUGUCAGUAGUCCACGGGUUAGUCGUUCAAGACAAGUUUUUAUUUUGGCAGCACCUCCCCUUAAACAACUUUUACUUCCGCUUUGGACAGCGGGAUCACUACUAACUAGGUGAACCUUACUCUCUCACUCAGGGACUACCAACCUCUCUUCCACUCUUCUCUUCCUCUCUACUCUCUUCUUACUUCACUACAAGAGCUCCUUCUUUGGAAACUGAAACUUGCGUGGUUUUCUAGAAUGCUUGUGUGAAGAAGUUGGAGGCAGGAAGUGGGAAUUUAUAGGAGGAAAGGGGGGCAGGGCGGGCGCCCUCUGUAGGUGGGUGGGCGCCCACCUUUGGUGGCCAUCCUGGCUGCCUUUUCUCCACUCCCUCCUUUGCUUGGCUCUUACGUAGAAUAAUAGUUCAAUGAUGGUGGUUAGUCGGUGGAAAAGUGCUGGUGAGUGGAGCUAUGUUGGUGGAUCAAAUAAUGUGAUGGGAUGUGUGUGAGGUGUGGUGUAUGACAUGUGGGACCCAAGGAGUGUGGGUCAUGCUUCUAGAAGGUUGCUCCCGGUGAGGGUUUGGGAUUUUUGGGUCCCCCAAGCUGGACCUCCAAAUCUUUUAAUCUUCUGAAUUACCUUCCUCCAGAGAUGGUGUCUCCAGUGGUUCUUCUUCAUGAACUUCCUUCACUGUAGAGUCUCUCUCUGGUCUGGGCUUGAAUGUGAAGUGUUCUUCUUUUCAGUUUAUGUUGAACUUGAUUUCUCCCUUCCCGACAUCAAUGUGGGCAUUGGUAGUGCUCAGAAACGGCCUUCCAAGGAUGAUGGACACUUUUGAGUCAGGACUCAUGUCCAGUACCAUGAAGUCUACUGGCACAAGGAAAUCUCUUAUCUUGACUGGAAUGUUUUCGGCGAUGCCCAACGGGUGUCGAACUGAUUGAUCUGCUAGUUGCAGGCACAUUGAUGUUGGUUCUAGGGUCGUAUGCUCAAGCUUCUCGUAGACUGAUGUUGGCAUCACAUUGACACUUGCUCCGAGAUCACAAAGUGCAUUAUUGAAGUGUUGGUUUCUGAUUGAGCAAUCAAUAGUGGGGCAUCCUGGAUCCUUCUUCUUCCUUGGUGGUUUGUUGAGGAUGGCCGCACUACAUUCUUCUAUCAGCUUGAUAACCUCAGUGGUGGGCAGUGGUCUCUUCUUGUUAAGAAUAUCUCUAAUAUACUUUGCAUAAGUGGGUACCUGUAUGGCAUCAAGUAGAGGUAUGUUGACAUAUAAUUUCUGAAUGACCUCUACAAACUUACCAAACUGCUCAUCCGACUGCAGUCCUCUAUUUCGUCUAGGAAAUGGCAAAUAGUUGGUGUCGUAAAAAUCUUUCCUCAUUUCUCCAGUUCUUGGUGGUUGUAGCAGAUCUUCUGCUUCAACUGGGCUUUCUUCUUCUAUCACUGCUGGUUGCACUGGUGCUGAUGUUCUCUGUUUCUCUUUUGGGUAUGGGGGAUCCCUGGUGGCUUUGCCUCCUCUAGUUGAUAUGUUCUUUACCUGCUCAAUGUUAGUGGCAACAGGCAAUGCAGCAACUAGCUUUAUUAAUUUAAGCUCUACCCUUUUAUUAAGAGUGUUUUGCUCAUCAAAGGCAGUUAAUAGAAAAUCCAUUUUAUUUUGUAUAUCCUUUAAAGAUGAUUCAUUUGUAUCUAGCCUUUGUUUAACUUCAUCAUUAGUUUUGGCUUGUUGAGCAAUUAUCUCUUUUAAUGAAAGUUGCUUGAAAGUAUUACCUAAACUCAUACCUUUGCUAUUGGGUUGACUUGAGGUAGGUUGAUAUUUAUAUGCUGUCUCAAUGGCCCUUUGAUUUUCUUUGAAGUUGGCCCUCUGGUCAAUCCAAUGGAGCAAAAUUUCCAUCUUGGUUGAUAGUGCAUUUACUUCUUCUGGUAUUUCUUCAGUUUGAUGACAUUGUUGAGCUUUAUCUUGGAACCAGCUUUGGUUUUCUGCUAUCUUAUCCAAAAGUAUCUCUGCUUUUCUAAUUGUAAGCUCCAAGAAUGAUCCCUUAGCAGAUGCAUCUAGUCACUCACGAGCCUUCUGGGUUAAUCCAUGGUAGAAGGUCUGCAUAAGUAACCAUGUAGCCAUUCCAUGGUGAGGACAAUCUGAUAUGUAUCCUUGAAAACGCUCCCAUGCUUCUUGAAUGGUUUCUGUCUUCUGCUGUUGGAAACUGACAAUAUUUCCUCUUAAGGCAGCUGUCUUGCCCAUUGGGAAAAACUUUGAUAGAAAGGCAUCUGACAAGUUCGUCCAGUUGUUGAUGUUAUCUUGAUGAGUGUAGAACCACUUCCUCGCUUUUCCUUCUAGUGAGAAUGGAAAAAGGCGAAGUAGUAUGACGUCUUUGUCGACUCCGUCAAUGUGGAUUGUGCUUCGAAUCUCUAAGAAAUUCUGUAAGUGUGCACUAGCAUCUUCAUGUGCCUUUCCACUGAAUUGUGUAGCUUGUACCAAAUUGAUGAGGCUUGACUUGAGCUCGAACUCAGGUGCUCCUUCUUCUACUGCAAAUCUUGGACCAGUUGGAAUGUUCUCAAGGUUUGGAGCAGAGAAUUCCCGUAGGGUCUUCUGUGCCAUAGCUUCAGCAAUUGGUAGGUAGCUUCUUCUUUCUUCUUGAUUGCUUUGGUUCUGAUGAUGAAGAGUUGAAUGUACCAAAGUCAAUCCUGAUAUACCUUUAUAAAAAUAUAAACAUAGAAAAACAACAGGGUGAACCUGCCAAAGCAGAGGUGCCAUGUUAUGAUUUCUCACUUAGUAGCUGUUUUUUAUGCAAUUAUUUCUCUAUAGUCUAGUCUAAUAUUUUAUGUGAAUAACCUUGACUGAUUUCCUGACUUUCCUUACUGUUCCUAUGUGUUUCCUUUUUUGUGUCCCCGGCAACGGCGCCAGAAAUGCUUGUUGACACUAGCUAACACCACUUAAAUACUAGGUUGUCAUCCCCAGCAUGGUGCCAGAGUGUACAAAGGUAUUUAUAAAUGUAAAGGCUCUCUAGAAAAUAAUCUAUUCUAUCCGCAAGCGCACAGAUAAAACACCUCAUUGUAGCAUUUCACCAGGUAAGUAUUCCAGGUAUCGUUAUUUAUAAUUUUCCUUAGGAGAAAAGGAUUAAAUGAAGAUAAGGAUAAAUCUAUCAAGGCAUAGAUUAGAGAUAAAUUUGAAAGAACAUGAUUACUAAUGAGAAACUCGUCACACAGUCACUUACUUUGGCAGGGGGUAAGCCAUAAUAAUAAUGAUAAUGAAAUAUAAGCUCAUGGGUAAAUAACACAGCGAUUAGAAAAUAGACUACUCCUCAAAUAUGUAAGGUGACGUCGGAUUAGCUAGAGAAUGGAUUCUAAGUUAUCUACUAUCUACUAAGUCACAAUCUACUCUAGUUAUCUACAAGAUCAUAUAUAGCAUAAAAGACUCUUCAUUCAUCUAUAAGGAACAUUGCUAAAGUAAAUCAGAACAUCACAAGACUUACUCCAUAAUACAAAUUCUGCCUGUCCUAUCAACGGAGGGUGGACUAUAUAAGAAUCAACGAAGCUGUCACUAUCGCGAACUACCACACGACCCGACCAAUAGGAUACAUUUGCAGGUAAAUAACAUCUAAGCACCAUGCCCACAUGUGAUCUACCACUUAACUCCCUCACGUCAAGAGCUAAGCGCUUUGCAAACUUAUACAUAAACUCAUUAUCAAUCAUAACUAUAUCAAAUAUAGAACUAGAGCAAACUAAGAGCAUAAUAAAUAGAGACAUAAUACAAUGAGAACAAAGUAUUAGAGAAAGAUAUGAAAUAAUACCUAUCUUUAUUACCGAAGAUCCGAAUCCAGAGCGUAGUGCUCUACUUCUCUAAUUGCUAUCUAAUCAAUCCUCUAAACUUGAAGGAUUAGGGAGUAGCUAAUUCUAAUUCUCUGUGGGAGAGAUGUCUAAACCCUAACUUUGAUGGCUACCUCUGAUAAUGAUUUCUCCUCUCUCCCCCUGGGGUGGAGAGGCUUUGAUUAUAUAGUCCUUUCAAGUGAAUUUGGGCCGUCGGAUCAAACCGACAUUGAUCGCACGGUUUUCCUUGAUCCUUUAGGUCGGUGGAGCACGAUCCGGGAGAUUGGUUCUGAUUGGUCUCCCGUUCGUUCCCGUGGCUUCUGGACUCUUCUAGAUUGAGGAAAAUUGCACGGCACGUAAUUAUCUUGAUGUAAACAUGACAUGUGGGCCUUCUCUCCAUAUUUUCUGAUAACCCCCUACAGAAAUAGAUAAACACCAAAGCUCGUGGAAUUCUGUCAGAUAAAACCCUAAUUCUAGAUGUUUGGUGUAUAUUGAUCCUUUUCCAUGUUUAAUUGAUGGUUAAAUUUAGUACUUAAGGACCAUCAACAAUAAAUACGGUAUAAGCACCACGCCUACACAAUUUCUAUCAUUUACCCAUGGAUCCGAUGGAUAAACGCUAUACGAUCCUAAACAUGUAUAUAAUUCCAAUCUAACUAAGCCAAAUAUAUAACUAUGAUAAACUAAGAACAAUAUAAUUGCGAAUAUAAACAAGUAGAGCAAAGUCAUAAUCAGUAUAUUGAAGUAGAACAAAGUCAUAUUCAUAAUAUCGAAGAACAAAGAUGAACAAUUGAAGAACAAUAGAGAAUUACCAAGAAUCCUCUUGACAGAUCCGGAAACCAAUCGAAGAUUGACUCCUUCUAGUUCUAAUCCUGUGUAGCUAUGCUAAUCUAGAUGUCUAAUUGAUGUGGUGGCUCUAGGCUUGAUCAGAGGCUUCUUCUCCCUUGAUGAAUAAUGAAUUAGGGUUGAGAGCUCCCCUCCUCCAGGGGCCAGGGGGUCUGGUUUUAUAGUACUUCCAAGUGAAUAUGGGUCGUCGGAUCAAACUGACAUUGAUUGAACGGUUAUCCUUGAUCGUUUAGGUCGGUGGAGCGUAAUCCCGAAAGAGAGUCCUGAUUGGACUCCAGAGGGGGGCGGGCGCCAUGGUCCCUAGGGCGGGCGCCCUGGGCCAGGCUCCGUUCUGCCUCCGCUUUGUUCCCGUGGCUUCUGGAGUCUUCUAGAUGUAAGAUAAUUGCGCGGUACGUUAAUAUCUCUAUGUAAUCCCGACGUGUGGGCCUUUCUUCCGUAUUUCCUGAUAACCCCCUGCAGAAAUAGACAAACACCAAAACUCGUUGAAUUCUGUCAGAUAAAACCCUAAGUCUGGAUGUUGAUUUCAUUUGGAUCCUUUUCUUUGUUUAUUUGAUAAUUAAAUUUGAUACUUAAGGACCGUCAACAAACUCCUCCAAGCUUACCUCUUGCUCGUCCCUGAGCAAGGAUAAUCUCAGUGAUAGAUCAGAAGUUGCUGUAAUGCCUUUAAAAAUUGACGGUACACAUGCUUUUAAAUAAGAUCUCAUCUCUGAGUUAGAGUAAAGUGUCAAGACUUAAAACUUACUUACUUUACCUUUCACCAUGGGACUUGUAACCGUCUCUUCUGUCUUGAGUAGUUAAAAGAUAGAACGGUCUAGCCAAGUGCCAUGUCUCUUAUUCUUGAUCAGCUAUAGCUCUGGGGUUUUUGCAGAUUUUCAAAUAAAACUCAGAGAUUCCUUGUAUGACUCUCUCAGAUCUCUCUUUUGUGGUAUUUCUGGAUCCUUGCCAAGGCAGUGGUGGUAUAUGCCUUCUCUCAAUAUAUGUGGUAUUUGUGGUAUAAAGCAUAGUAACAUUGCCUUCUCUCUCACCCUACUCUAAUAAGGCUUUUGAUAUCUGGAGCUCAUAGGUGGGAGAUAAAGUAUACAUACUUACAAGACAUUUAUUGCAUAGUCAAAUCAUGGAUCCAAAGAAACAAGUCAAUAAGUCAAAUCAAGAUGUGCAUGUGUGGCAAAUGAAUGGUAUAUGGUGAUGAUGGUGAUAACAAUGGUGAAAGUCUAAUUCUACUGGUGCUCUUUUGAAGGGAUACAUACCUUUCUUGCUCUUUUGAAACUUUAGGGGAAAAUGAGAUGCUCUGUACUUUCUUUUUUCUUUCCUCUCAGGUGGGUAUUUUGUACCCCUAAUUCUACUAUCGAACUCUUUUCCAUUUUUACCUCUCGUCUCACUUUUUCUUUUCUUUCGAGGUUCCGGGCACUUGCCCCUUUUUAUUUCCUCGAAUCUCUCUUUUUUUAGAGCACUCAUCUCAUGAGAUAAUAUAGCAAGUGGUAGUAACCAAGAUAACUUGAGCAUUUAUUUCACAGGGGAAAAACAGAAAUAUUUUUGGCUAUUCCCUCCCGGAUUAGGAGUAGAAUAUUUUUGGGUGGUUCUGGAGAUGGAAAUGGGUGGAUAUAUGUGGAUGCGUACUUUCGGAGUAGAAGUAGUAUGUAUGAGUGAACGUGCAAGUGAAUCUUGAUUUAACCACAUGACAAGCUCCUAAGGGUCUACACAGCUUGACCACACUCAAUGCUCAUAAGCAGUAAAAAGGUAAAUGUGUGGCUCAAAGUCUAUCAAGCAUGU